UAGAGGAAGUAAAAGUCGUAACAAGGUUUCCGUAGGUGAACCUGCGGAAGGAUCAUUAAUGAAUGAAUUUGGAUGGAGUUGUAGCUGGUCUCAGAAAUGGGGCAUGUGCACACUCUGUUCAUUCACCCUUCACACCUCUGUGCACUUCUCAUGGGGUUGGGCUGCGUCUGAAAUAUGGCGAGGCACUCUCUCAUGUGUUUAUACCACACACUUUGAAAAGUUUUUAGAAUGUAACAAUCAUGCAUCAAUGCAUAUAAUACAACUUUCAGCAACGGAUCUCUUGGCUCUCGCAUCGAUGAAGAACGCAGCGAAAUGCGAUAAGUAAUGUGAAUUGCAGAAUUCAGUGAAUCAUCGAAUCUUUGAACGCACCUUGCGCUCCUUGGUAUUCCGAGGAGCAUGCCUGUUUGAGUGUCAUGGUAUUCUCAACCCUCUCACAUUUUUUUGUGGUUGGGCUUGGACUUGGAGGUAUCACUGCUGGUGUUCAUUUUUGAACGCGGGCUCCUCUGAAAUGCAUUAGCUGGAAUUUUACUUGGCAUGAUUCAAUGUGAUAAUUGUCUACGUUGUCUCAGCUUGGUAUUAAAUUUGUUUCAGCUUCUAAAYGUCUUUGCAGACAAUAUAUCUGAACAUCUGACCUCAAAUCAGGUAGGACUACCCG
rnacentral:rRNA from 1 species